CCCUCCUCCUCCUCUUCCUCCUCCUCCUCCUCCUCCUCCUCCUCCUCCAGCCUCAGGUGACAGGUGAAGCUGCAGGAGUCAGACCCUCGUCCUCAUCACGGAGAUCAGCUUCAUCUCAGCAGGUCAGCCGGCUCGAUAUACGAGAGAAACGACAAGCUAACAAACUAAAAUUCAGUCCUUAUCUCCUCACCAGCUGUAUUUAUAUAUUUUAAGAAAUUAAUAACAAACAAUACCAGAUAAAAAGUGUUCAGUGUUUUUUGUCGAAUGUGCUCAUAUUUUUGCUUUAACUCCUGUGAGACUUAACAACACUGUGAAGUAAAUCAGACUAGUGGUUAUAAAAUAAAGGAGGUUGUUGUCUCAUAUUGAGUAAUCACUGCGACGCAGGGAGCUCGUUAGCUCGUUAGCAUCCCGUCACUGGCUGCAGUCCCCCAGUAAACUUCCUCCCUCCCGACUGCCUGCUCAGGAUGUUCCUUCUUCUCCAGAGCUGAACUUCACAUCUCAGAGCAGCUCACCUGACUGAAGAACUGAACGUGAGCUAGCUGAUCUUAAUCUGUGUGAACUUUCACUUCUUCUUAUGAGAUAAAUAACUUCAUACUGAAAGAGGACACAGUGAGUUUAUGUCUGAAGAACUCUGCCUGUGUUGUUCUGGGUUUCAAGGAAAUUAGAAGAGUGUAAAAGCUCAGAUGAGCCAAGUUUACAUAGAGAUCAUAUGAAAACCAGCAGUUUCACUGGUCUGACUGGGACUGAGGAUCCAGCAGUCCGUCUUAAAUACCUCGACUUAAGGUGGAACUGCUCUGUUGAGCAAGUCCUGCUGAAAACAGGUGAAGGUGCCAUUAAAAUGCAGCUGUUGUCCCCUUCAAUUACAGCCCGCCGAGCCUCGGCUGAUUGGCGGCCCGGCCGGCGGAGGUCACGGCUCCAGCGGGGCACCUGGGGGCUAAUCACAGACCCGGUGAGCAGAGGAGGGCCCGGUUCUUCAGCUGACGGCCAGUGAGUUUAUGGCCUUCUCUGAAAACAGAAGCCGGCUCAUUACUCACAUAGCUGCUUCAGUCCUCCCAACAAACAUUUACCUGACCUGCAGCCUGAACGCCUCGUCCACAGCUUCAUCUCAAACCAUCCUACAGAUGAAACGAGAAGUGAUGAAUGUUUAAUAAAACAACAGAUCUGAUCCGAUCUGUGAAUCGUCUCUUCAUCAGCUCGUCUGAAUGAACCCCUGGAACCUCAGACGGACUCUGGGACCUCCUGCCGUCUUCAGUCUGUUUAUGAUGCAGCGGGAGGAAUCGUCCCUGAACUGAAGGCCGCGGCGUGUCAUGGUUACGACACUCCCAAUCAAUCUAUCUGCCGCCGCUUACAUUUACAGUAAAGGAGGAGAAACCCGACGGCAGCCCCGGCACACAAUGGAGGACAUUUACAGCAGGUUUCCUCUUUAUGGCUGCGUGUUUGUGAGCUGUGACGAGGAGGGAAUAUUUAACAGGAUGCCUCCACAGAGACGCUGUGUUGACAGUAAACGAGUGGGAGAGUCCUGUGAGGAUUCGGGACCUCCGGUGGACCUUUGCUUUGUUAAUAAGGCUGUCAGACGACGCUGAGGGCGGCAGCGUUAACACAGCAAACCCCACAGGCCAGAGAGGACGGCAGCCAAACAAGAGCUCACAGGCUGAUCAGCGGCAGGGGAGUCACCCAGGAGGACAGUGUGAAUGUAUAAUCCACAUAUUAAUGCACAUACUUUUUAAAAAAUGGACUUACAACCACACUGUAUGUAGAUGAGUUAAAGGAACAGUUCACCCAACUAUGAAGUCUCAGUCACCCUCUCCUCCCUUCUGAUGAUAUAAAGCCUGACGAAGUCAGAAGCAGCAUUCUGCCCAACAACUGAACUAGCUGGAGACUUGAUUUAAAACAGAGAAACAACCAGAACGCCAUUAAAACUUUGCAGAAUUAGCUGUUAGUGCUUCCUGUUAGCAGUGAACUCAUGGAUGUACAGACAACUAUCACUGGAUCACUGUGAGACUGAAGAAAACUUAAAACAUGAUGUUUCUAAAGGGAGUUCUGCACAUGUGAGGAGAGACUUUGUUGUGUAUUUGCGAUGGACCUCAAAAUUAUAUAAUCUAAAAACCAGAGAAACAGUAAUUUUGAAGCUGAAGCCUUCGUAUUCACUACAGUUGCUAAGCUAAAGGUGUUAGCAUGCACCUGGUCUGAGGGGUGCUCACCUGGGACGAGGUCUGGUUAUCUUUCACCACAAGGAAAAGGUCACCGUCACCGUCUUUACAUGGUAGGAAACACAGAUCAUAUACUGACAUUUCAUUCACUUGCUGUGUUUCCUCGUGUUUUCAGUCUGUAUGCUAAGCUAAGCUAAGCUAAGCUAACCCAGAGUCGUUGCAGGGGUCAGUUUCUUGCAGUUUCUCUGGUUGUUUCAGCUCAUGUCUGUACGUUCAGGGAGUCGAGCCGCCGUCUCUUUAGCUGCAGCUGAACCGUCGUGACUUUAAAACUAUUCCACUUUUAAAAAACGUCCUGGAGCUGAACUCUGAAUCUGUAACCAGCUGACGGGAUGAUAAGUGUGUGUGCUGAAUAUGACACAGAUACAUACACAUAUACGUUCAUGCAUAUAUGUAUGUACAUAACAUUUAAACAAGAUUCAGCAGGAAACAAAGGCGCUGGGAGCUGUGUGUGUGUGUGUGUGUGUGUGUGUGUGUGUGUGUGUGUGUGUGUGUGUGUCUCUCCCUCUCCUCAGGGACCACAACUGGAGCAACAAACCUCAGCGCGCCGUCUUCCUGCUCGGGGGCUUCUUCCUUGUGCGAGGAAGGCGGUGGCCCGGACACUUUGUGAAUAAUUCGAUUAAGGACGAGGACGAGCAGAAAAGGUGACGGAGUUUAUUCCGCUGUGUGAACCCACCUGGACAGAGACAGACGGAACCGACAAGGACACAAACACGGAGCUCCAGCUGCACACUUGGCAGCCUGUCCCUUCACUCCUGUUUGACCUCUGUUUCCAUCACUCUCCCUCUUCACCUCCUCCUCCAUCAGCAGCUUCUUCUUCUUCUGUUACACUUAUUCCGGUUGCUCCUCUGACAGCUGUGGACGGUGACCGGGGAGAACGAAGCCCACUUCCUGGUUUGGUUUGUUUCAACGUUCGUCUAGCAGGAGAAAUCCAGCCUGGUGUCAGACUGAGUGUCAGUGAGGUUUAUACUGGAACACUCUGUCAGAGGAUGAUGUCAUUAUUCUACAGCCGUCACACUGUGACAUCACUGUGACAUCACUGUGACAUCACUGUGACAUCAGGACUUACUGCACAGUGAGAAGUUAAAGUCCUCAGUGUUUCUGUUGUAAAAUGAAUGUGAACGUUUAAACACUCAGACAAAACACGACAUCUGAAGACCAACAAGUAAUCGAUUACUUUAGGAAGUAACUGUGAGUGAAUGUAAACUUGUUCAACAGGAAUUCACAGGAAGCAGCUCGACUGACAAACACAGAAGAUCAGCUGAAGAUUAAUGUGUGUGUGUGUGUGUGUGUGUGUGUGUGUGUGUGUGUGUGUGUGUGUGUGUGUGUGUGGCUGUGUGUGUGUUGGGGGGUGGAGUCCUUGGGGACCUCCUUUGGGAAGUGGGUCAACCGCUUGGCAGGGCAGGCCGGCUCGUUAGCAUGGAGUGUAAACACACACGCACACACACACAUACACGCACACACACACCUUGUCUGUGCCAAGGAGCUGCUAAUUAGCCUGUGUGUAAUUUUCAUUGUUGCCAAUUACAGCCGGAGGAGCUGAGGUGUGUGUGUGUGUGUGUGUGUGUGUGUGUGUGUGUGUGUGUGUGUGUGUGUGUGUGUGUUAAUUUGUUAAUUCGUCUGUGUGUUUCUUCAUCAUCAUCUUGUUUGUUCACUCUCAUGAAUCCAGAAGAUGUUGUUUGACACACACGCACACACACACACACACACACACACACACACACUGACUUAUAUUCCCUGAACUCAGACCCAGUGAUGGAAUGUAACUAAUUACAUUUACUCUUUUCUUUUAUUUGAGUUUUUGUUCAUUUUCUGCUACUUUCUACUUUCACUUCCAGACAAAUGUGGUUCUUUAAAUGUUAUUGAACCAGUGACACAACAUCACCAGACUCCAUUAACAAAUCACCUGUUUUAAGAGUUGUUUCAUGAGGCGAGACUUAAUAAACAUUAUGAAACUGUG